GAGUUUGAUCAUGGCUCAGAUUGAACGCUGGCGGCAUGCCUUACACAUAGCAAGUCGAACGGCAGCAUGAUCUAGCUUGCUAGAUUGAUGGCGAGUGGCGAACGGGUGAGUAAUACAUCGGAACGUGCCCUGUAGUGGGGGAUAACUAGUCGAAAGAUUAGCUAAUACCGCAUACGACCUGAGGGUGAAAGUGGGGGACCGCAAGGCCUCAUGCUAUAGGAGCGGCCGAUGUCUGAUUAGCUAGUUGGUGGGGUAAAGGCCCACCAAGGCGACGAUCAGUAGCUGGUCUGAGAGGACGAUCAGCCACACUGGGACUGAGACACGGCCCAGACUCCUACGGGAGGCAGCAGUGGGGAAUUUUGGACAAUGGGCGAAAGCCUGAUCCAGCAAUGCCGCGUGUGUGAAGAAGGCCUGG
rnacentral:rRNA from 1 species